UACGUGGGGUGCGAGCGUUAAUCGGAAUUACUGGGCGUAAAGGGCGCGUAGGCUGUGCUGUAAGUCAGGCGUGAAAGCCCCGGGCUCAACCUGGGAAUUGCGCUUGAUACUGCGGCGCUGGAAGGUGGGAGAGGAUGGCGGAAUUCCCAGUGUAGAGGUGAAAGUCGUAGAUAUUGGGAAGAACACCGGUGGCGAAGGCGGCCAUCUGGCCCACAUUUGACGCUGAGGCGCGAAAGCGUGGGGAGCAAACAGG
rnacentral:rRNA from 1 species